rnacentral:rRNA from 1 species
AACGAACGCUGGCGGCAUGCCUAACACAUGCAAGUCGAACGAGACCUUCGGGUCUAGUGGCGCACGGGUGCGUAACGCGUGGGAACCUGCACUUAGGUUCGGAAUAACUCCCCGAAAGGGGUGCUAAUACCGGAUAAUGUCUUCGGACCAAAGAUUUAUCGCCUUUGGAUGGGCCCGGGUUGGAUUAGCUAGUUGGUAGGGUAAAAGCCUACCAAGGCGACGAUCCAUAGCUGGUCUGGGAGGAUGAUCCGCCGCACUGGGACUGCGACACGGCCCAGACUCCUACGGGAGGCAGCAGUGGAGAAUAUUGGACAAUGGGCCAAAGCCUGAUCCAGCAAUGCCGCGUGAGUGAGGAAGGCCUUAGGGUUGUAAAGCUCUUUUACCCGGGAUGAUAAUGACAGUACCGGGAGAAUAAGCUCCGGCUAACUCCGUG